CUUCGACGAUAGAAAGAACAAUGGAAAACUUCUCGAAAUGGAAGGUGAGGGGGUGACGGGAGGAUGCGGGACGGGGAUAAAGGCAAAAGCGAGGAGUGGCGUGGCGUAGCGCGACGAUGCGUCACAGCUUGGGAAGGACGCAGAACUGCCGGAGAACGCAGUAUGCCUCCGCCGCAAACGGAAAACGACAAAUUCCAACGGCGUAAAAGCCACCUUCAGAUUUGGAGUCACGUAUUAAUAAAAACUACCCAAAGUCAGUUAGAGCUCUUGGAUCAAAAUCUAACAUUCCAGCGUCGAGAAGAAGCGCUUAACUUUGAGUACUACUUUUUCACUGGCGGAGCGGAGUAACACACUCUGCAGCGGCUGCUUGGGGUAUAUAAAGGAUUUCGCACUACAUUUUCAACAUUUGGAGUCACACCGCGAAGCAGCGCAAGCACCUCCGUGACGCUCUCCGCUGGGAGGGCCCAACUUUCUCCGUGAAGUCGCAUCUGGAUCAAACUUCAGUGCAUCCCUUCUCUUCUUGGAGCUAGUCUCCAUUAAGAAGGAGCGAUGAGGCACCAGAGCCCCCAACCUGCUACAGUCGGUCCAGACCUACGCACUGUCUGGCCAGAUGACCACGUUGGCCCUAAUGGAUGACCCGAGAUUCGAAUUGGAGCGCUGUCAUGUGUUGUUGUGUGAGGUGGGUGUAUCAUGAAUGUUGGUGAAACUUAGUCAGCUGCACUUGGAUUGCCCCAGACUUGUUGAGGUGACCCCCAUGGUUGGGGGAGAUUGAGGAUGAACCUCAUGGUGAUUUGUUAGCAUUCAUCCCUUGCAAGUACACAUGUCAGCCUCCUUUUCUACUCUGGACAUCUUGGAGAUCGUGACUUUCGGUCUGAUGGCAGCGUUUGGUCAGUUGGUCGCCGACAAUAGCUGAACCUCAACCUUCCGCUUACUUGGACUGGGGCUGUUGUGAAGGUGAACACACAAUCGUCUUGAACUGGCAGAGGCAGUACCAUCAUGAAUUUCUUCGUGGUCUAAAUGAGUCAUUGAUAGUCGCACAUUUCAUCAUGUCGUCCAAUGGAUUGUAAGAGUGUUGAGAACCGCAGUGAUUUGUACCUUAGAUAAAUACAACAUGAAUACUGGAUUCCAUUCAAUUACAAAGCUCUCUUUUUUAUUAAUAUACCCGGAAUAGCAACCCUGAAAAUGUCACACACACUGGAUGGGACUACAUUUCCCACCAAUCGUUCACCUCUUUCCUUGGGCAUCUGAGAUUACACCAGAGGAUGGUCUACGCUUUCUGGUCCCAGCAUGGCAACUCUGCUGAAAACCACAGGCCAAACAUGCAGUAUCAUCCUCUGUUUUACAAUAUUUGCCAUGAGUAAAGCCUUUGACUUCAUCUUCAGGCAACAUCCUGCCCUGGGAAUUUGCCUGAGAUGGGGACUCUUCAUGAAACAUGAAUUCUACACCACUGUUACCCUUGUGCUGGCAGAUGCUACCUCAGCCGUCUCCAAGUCCAUGAAAAUCCGUGAUUGGCUUUGCGAGAGUGACUGGGACCCAAGUAUGAGAGCUUGGAUCCCCAACCCCACUCGGCCAUCGAGUUCGCCAUCCCAGCAUUACCCGGUCCUGCUGCGAUGCCUAGCGAUGCAAAAGAGACUUCUCACGUGACCCUGAGCCCUCACUGCUGCUGUAGACGAAUUUCAUCGCCUUGUGGAUGUGUCCCAGUCAUGCUUUCGGGCGUGUGUCGCCUGGAAGUACCAUUGGGACUUCAAAAUUCCGUUGAACAUUGGGUUCAUGGAUGAAUGAAUCUGAUGUGUUUCCAUCCUGGAGGCAACAUUGUCGCAGGAAAUUAAUUGGAUGCUCAAUGCUGUUUGCAUUUAGCCUGUAGUGGGCAUACAGCAUCAAACUUGAGCUCCAGUACUUCUUGCAGAGGCAGCAGUCCAUAGGUGGGCUCAUUGUCAUCUAGGAGCAGUCUCAAGUUCGUGGUCUAAGCUUCAAUCCAGCCUGAGGCUGUCCAUAGUGGACUUGGCUAGUCGGGCUCCACUCCGUAUUCCUGCAUGGGCCGCUCGUGUGAUCGGUUCCAUCUCAAGCGAGCAACUACUCCUUGCUGGGCUCGUCCAGCUGUUGCAGUCCUUGGCUUUAUCUGUGGAUGGGCCGUCUGUCGGAGUCCGCAGAAAGCCUUUGGGCUGCACCGGGAAUUCCCUGCUACAUUACUCUCGAUACCCAAGAAUCCUCAACCUCAAGUCCCAGUUAUCGUAAGUCAAAGCGUUUGAUGCAAAGUAGGGAUUCUAUGUGCCUGUUCCAACUGGUGAAGGUUCCAAUGGUUGGGUUGCAACAUGCAUAAUCCGUGAAAGCCAUGUAGAAAAAUUGGCCUAUAUUUAUACAAACCAAAACAAUGAAGUGUAUCAUCACACUUCUGGGGCCAGCAUCCAGUAAAAGGAUGGACGCAUCCUUAAGCAUUUCAGGAAUUGCGUAGCGUGGAUGAGGUACACAAUAUGGAUGUUCAACAUGCUACCUAGCCGAAAAACGUAGGAAAUGUCCUAGUGUACUCCUGAGUGAAUGAGAACAAGUAGAGAAGUGUCAACUCAACAGAGUGCGCUUGCUGAUGCCGUACAAUUGGUCCAGACCCAAGAUCAAUAUCUUAAAAUUACAAGUCAGCAACACGCGAUGCCUACAUCCAACCGUCUUCAACGCAACUUUGCAAAUUAUUAGAGAUUUGCAAGUUGUCAAGGGUUCCUUGGUCAUCAGGGCUCCAUCAACUAUCACCUGAUGCAGAUAUUCUUGCUCCUUGGUGAUAAUAUUUCCCCUUUUGGUGUUUUAGACAUGGCUCUAGGACCGACAUGCCAUCUAAUUCAUCCUCAUCUGUCGCCAAGUUCCGUCAUUCCAAGCCAUAGAAGUUUGGCUCUUGAUCCCUGAGGAUGCCUAGGAGUUGCGAAGCCCUCUGGUUAUAUCUCGGACGAAUCCAGCUUUGGCGUGUCACGGCAGCGGCCGCUGUAUCAUAAUUUCUGGAUUUCUUGGGAGCAUGUGAUGCCCACCAAACCCUCCAUUUUGUGGUGGUUUGUAAUCACACUGGAUUUUAAGGGAGGGGUGGGGUAGACGUAACCCUUCAAUCUGCUUCCAGUACUUAGUGAUUUAUGUGGAAACUCCAUCUUCUUGGCUUGAAGAAAAUGGAAAAACAUGCAUCACCCUGGAGAGAAAGGAAUUAGCAGCACUGGAUCCAUGCCUGCGCUCACCAAUUCUGCUGAUAAUGUCAUCUGAGAAGUUUUGGCAAGAUGAGGUUUCGUUUUUUUUUUUAAAUUACUUUCCAAUGGCGUUGGUGUGCUGUUCCCUACAUGUCUGCACAGGCGACAGGCAUUCUUCGUGCCCUACCCACGGCUGCAAGCCUACUAUUUUCUCCUUGGACUGUGCUGUGACGCUGUGAACUUCACUGAUCUGUGGUCGUCUCCAAUGGUCCCUGUCUUCUUCAGAUUCCGUUACCCUGUCAACAUUCAGCUCAUUUUCCUGAGUAUUAUAUAUCCAGACUAAUAUCGUUCCAUUAUCUAUCUAUAGAUUGAGAUGGUGAUAAGUUUUGAACUGAUAUGCUAUUUCUCUCGUGAUUCAGGAUUAUGAGGGUCCUAGAUAUUAAUGUUUAUCACAUGUUCUACAAGAUGUAGUCCUGUCAAUUGUCGUGUCAUCUAAAGAUAAGAGUACUCUUGCACAACCACCUUGUUUUACACAGAGAAGUGAAAUGAGUUAAUCCACUUAUUUUGCAACAUAAUUUUCCAUGCGCCAUAGCUUACAAGCAUGUUUUGCUCUUUGGUUUCUGAGAACAGAGUUUAUGCGAGAAAUCAGUUAUGGGAAAUGAAGAACAACAACUAAUGCAGUUAAAUAUUAGAAUUGGAACUAAUUUUGUUCAUAGAAAUGAGUGGAAGUUCUAUUUUAAAGAGUAAAUCUUACUCUCCUUGUUCAUAGAGAUGAUAUUGUUUAUUUGAAGUAGAGGUUCAGACCCAGUAAGUUGCAUCAGGUUUGACAAUAUUAUUGCAUUUUAUUCAUUUAUCAUCAAUGAAGCCUUUGAGAUGGUAUUUUCUCUUCCCACUUUGGUGGGGUUUUGUUCUUAAUCAAUGGGAGCGUGUGUGUUUAAUCAUCUGCAGGCAUAUUGUGAGUGCGCUGGUGAUCUAUUGAAUCUGGCCUUGUUCAGAAUCUCCCAUCAUCUUCGGGGUUAUCAGUUAUCUAUAGACAGGUGACAUUUAAAUCUUGUUUUUUAAAUACUAACUUAUUUUAGUUACAUGAAACUAAAACUUGUAAAUUUGAGCCCUGCCCUUGUGGGUUCAAAUCAUAAUUAUUUGUGGCCUUGUUUGGGUCUUGUCUCUUGAAUGUCUGCCCUAGAUUUUCUCAGUGGUGGCCUGACAAGCUUCCUGCUGGCUCCUGUACAGUGAGAGUUGUGAGUUAUUCGUUGAUGCUCAGUGAGUUAUAUUAGUCCCCAUUUUGGUUUGGGGCCAAGGGUGUUUAACAAAAUUGUGUCUAUAUAAUUGCGCAGUCAAAAGUUAUGGAAUGGAUCGUGAGGGAGUUGGCCGUAAGGGAUUACCCUGUUCAGACAACAUUUUUCAAGGUGAUGUGUGUAAUUCUUUUUUGUGUUGUUUUGUUGUUUGGGUGCACACUUUGUGUGCCUGGGAGCUUUCUUUUUGUCAAGUUCCAGGAAUGGAAUGAGCUGUGUCAAGGCCUGUUGAGCAGUGAAAACUCUAGAGCACCUUGGGUCCACAAUAUGGUCUCCUCAUUCAGAUGGUGAAAAUUGAGUAAGCAGCAGAGGUGAUGCCAGUUUCUCUUUCUUCUUGGUGUUGCCCCACUUGUGUGGGGUUGAAUUGUGUCAAGUUCGCAGUUCCAGGACAUUGCCAGAUCUAGACCAUGAAUAGCUGUCAAAGUUGUCAGGGAGCUGCUAGGUUGAUGAAAAGACAAGGACAAAAAGUAGCUGCAGUCUGCAUCGUGAGCUGUAAUUGAAAAUGUCGUCUUAGCAAGUAUGAUAGUGAUCAGAAAAUUUAAGUUUUUUGUCACAAUAGUAAUGACUUAUGGAAGCGAUGAGUGGAUGUGUGACCCUGCAAUUAUGUGAAGUAUUGCUCAAGUCUCAAAACAUACUUGAAAUUAUGGUCAAUUCUAUUAGGGUUGAAGGCCAACUAGUGUUCAAUUCUGCUGAUUCUUUGUGAUAUUAGCAGGUGAAAAUCAAUGAAAGCUUGUGAGAUCUUUGAAAAAUUCUGGAAGAAUUUAAUUGUGUCCUCAUCAGAAAAACUAUAUUUAAUUGCCAUCCAUUAUUUUGAGAUUCUGAUGAAAUUGAUGACAUUUGGCAAUGUAUGCCCAAACAAUGGAAAACUUAAAGGAAAGAGAAAUGAAUUGAAUGAACUUGAACAAAAACCAACGGCUUUGGAUAAUUGGAUGUAAUGUAUCGAAGUGUGCUAGCAUGCCACGUGUGUCAGGGUUAAUGACAACCAGGAAAUGGAACAAAGUAUUGAGGCAAAGCUGAUAUAGAAAAGUUGUGUUGUAUUGGAAGCAAUUUCCAAUAGAAGGAAACACUUCAGGAAGCACAUCUGUUCACCAGCCUUUCAUUGGAUUGAUGAAAUGUUUGAGAUCAGAACUCUGAUCCUGCUACUUGUUACUGCAAUGCCUACUACCUCUUAUCUUAUUAUGGAAAGAUGAAUUCUGACGUCAUCCAGCUGGGAUUUGUGGUAAAAGUAGGCAUUGGAGCCACUGUUUUGCGGCCUUUGUGAAUCUGAACUUUCAGACAUGGCUGAGCUAUGGAGGUCGGAUAGGUUGCCAACCCCGGUACUGCUGCUGACACCAUGUGGAGCGUAGGACACGCUGGCACCGUCCAGGCAGGUGUAUGCUUUCAGGCCCAUGCAUCAAGACGUGACGCCACUGCGCGGAUGGCGACGAGACGUGACGAGAUGAGCGUUUUGCACGGCCCUCAGCGUGCCCGCAGUCGGGUGCAGGGUGUAGUCAUGUUUUGUAAGUGGCUCAAACCUGUCCACUAGGAGAAUGACAUUGUUUUGAUAUAGUUUUGGUAUUGCUCUGCAACAUUAAAACCAUAUCUUUGCAAGUAAUCUCCUUCUGGUGUCUGUGUACGGUCCUUGACCUCUGCUACUUCUGGUGGUUUGUCCCAUCGGAGUGUGCCCUGCCCUGGCUGUCGGGGUGGUGGUCAAGGGUUGAUCACCACUGCUGUGAGGCCAUUUGUGCCCCAGGCCGGCCCAGCCCCAGUAUACAAGUGGAGACGGAGGCCGCCGAAUUGCAUGUGAGCGCAAGUUCCAAUCAGUGAGUUUGUCUCCUGUUGCUCUCUUGAACGGAACGUGUUAAACCUGUCCUGGAUCGGAAAGAAUGUCAAAGAAAGAGGGUAGAAGUGUGCUGGCCUCAGCCGUCCCAAGGCACUUGAGCGUAAGUUGCUGCUUCUACAUCUUUCUCGAUUUUGGCAAACAGAGCAGAUUUGCUCUAGCAAAAUGUCUUGCAUAUGUAAGGUCUUAUCCUCCUGUCUUCUGGAGAUAAAACUUGCAUUAAUGCAGAUACUUACACUUUAAGGAUAGCUUGUCAUGAAAGCUCAGGCCCUUUCAUUAGUGGCUCAUGAAGACCUGGCUGUAUUUUCAACCACAAUGCUUUUUAUAUACGUUUCUCAGCCUUUGUGGCCCGUAUAUAUAUAUGUGCUUUCAUCAGAGAUGUCCACUCAAUUGAGCACCAUUUUUAUUUACUAUGUUCAAAACAAGAUUUUGAACUGCAAUUAUUAUAAUUUUAAGAGGUGCUGUUGUGAAUGUAUAGUACCUCUGAAAUGAGUCCUUUAACUCUGGUUGUACCCAUCUUGAUAAUAUUGUGAGUACAAUUUAUAAGUUUUAAUGAUUGUUGAAUUCUAUGGAUCAUUGAUUGUUUACUGACCCAUAUCAACAAUUCUCAGGACUUCAACAUUUCAGUUGAUGAAGAAUUAUUAACUGCUGAUGUACUGAAAAUUUGUUUAAAGAGGAAAGAUGCGCCCAUCUCCAUCCUUUGAAGAUAAAGAUGCGCCAUUUUAAUAAGUUUUUUUCAGGAAAGAAAAAUAUCUAAUAGUAAAGAUGCGCCAAUCAUUUAAACUAAGAGGAUGGAAAAAGAUGCGCCACCAUUUCUGCUCAAAGUUACGCAAAAAAAAAAAAAAAAAAAAAAAAAAUGAGAAAAGAUGCGCCAUUUAAAAAAAGUCAUGGGUGAAAUAAAAGAUGCGUCAACUUCUUAACCUAUCGAAAUAGAAAGAUGCGCCAAAUCAUAGUGGAUGAAAAGAUGCGCCAAUGUAUUGCACAUUGCUGUAGCUUGAAACUGCUGGAGGUUGAUUUUUGCAUUUCUAUUAUGCAAUCAAAGUGUGUUUAAUAAUGUCAGAUUUUUCUAUCAUGCUGAUUUUUUACUUCAUUACUUUCAUUGGAAGGUACAAAUGUUAGCAAGUAUCAUGAUAGAAAUUUUGUGGCAACUUUUAUACAGUUUACUUUCAAGGUUUAGAAAUUUUCUCCUUUGCUGGACUAGUUCUCAGGUGUUCUGUCUACCGUCGUGGACUGAUUUAUAUCCGUAUAGAUAUAUCUUUGUCAGCAUCCUAGUUUUAAGACAUCAGUUUUAUGGGAUUUUACUAAUUCUUACAUCCUUAGUUAACAUCCUUCGAGACUGAGGAAGAAAUUCUUAAAUUUAAAUCCUGGAGGUUUUUUUUUUUUUUAUGUCUCCUCGAAUUGGGUCUACUAGUCUUGCUCUUUCCCGGCAAUUUGGUUGAUUUCGGGUUACUCCGUAGACUAAAUUGUGGGUCUCCUACCUACUUGGGAAAAUUUGAAACCUCCUCGCGGGACAUCGUGGGACUUCGCUUCGCGUGGCUUCGUGGGAUUCCUCUUCGCGGGACUUCGUGGGAUUCCUCUUCGCGGGACUUCGUGGGACUCCUCUUCGCGGGACUUCGUGGGAUCCUCUUCGCGGGACUUCGUGGGAUUCCUCUUCGCGGGACUUCGUGGGAUUUCUCUUCGCGGGACCCUUCUUCGUGGGACGUCGUGGGACUCUUCUUCGCGGGACUUCGUGGGAUUCUUCUUCACGGGACUUCGUGGGACUCUUCUUCGCGGGACUUCGUGGGAUUCGACGUCGCGGGACUUCGUGGGACUUCCCCGGAUUCACCAUCGUGGGACUUCGUGGGAUUCGACUUCGCGGGACUUCGUGGGACUUCCCCGUAUUCACCAUCGUGGGACUUCGCUGGAUUCGUCGUCGUGGGACUUCGUGGGACUUCGCUGGAUUCACCUCAGCUCGAUUUGCUAUAUUCUCGAACCUCAGUAGCGUAUCAGGGGAUGCGAUGAAGGCGAAACUUCUUAGAUGGCAUUCGUCGGGGCCACCACCGAGCCUCUUCGUCAUUUCCCCGUACAUCCCCAACCCCAGAAUAGGCUUCCGUGGGAAUCUCCUUGGCUUGGUGCGUCAUCAGGGGCCGUUUCGUCGCGGUGGACACCGUUCGCCUGACUGAACUCCUCCUGACUCCGUCCUCUGGGCGGCCGCCUCCCGGACCGAAAAUACUUUCGUUGGCGCUGCUCCGUGCCGCUGUCAUUGAAAGAGGCUUCCAUCCCUCUCCCUCGACUUGUUUCUGGAGGGCCUCGCGCCCUCCGGGACUUGCUCCAGGGUGUCCUUCAGGACCGUCCGGGUGCCAGGGAGACCCCCCCGUCGGCAAGGCUCCCGUCGUGCGUACCGACUUCUCGCGGGCUAGAUGCGGUUUGAUACUUGCGUGGAAGGGCUGACACGGACGUCGGCACCAGCGUCGUCGUCAACUGGGAUCCUCGGCGAGACGAAGCCUCUCCGGCGCUGCUCGCGGCUCUUGCCAGUCAUCGGGGCGUCUCUCCGAGGGCGGCCUCUUCGUGGGUGUCCUUGGCGUCGCGUAUCCGGGUUUGGGACUUCGUCACGGAGGGCAUCACGGAAUACAGGCUGACAUCAUCAUCAUCAUCGUGGGACUUCGCGGGACUUCAUCGACGGCAUCGCGGGACUUCGUGGACGGCAUCGCGGGACUUCGCGGGCGGCUUCGUGGGACUUCGCGGACGGCAUCGCAGAUCUUCAAGUGGACGACGCUGGAUUACGCCCGCCAUCUCCUAAAUACAGUUACCAAUUAAAUUCAACCACAGCUCCUCGUGCCAUAGUGCUGGCUGCAGAGAAUGAAUUGUCACUGAUCACAAUACGGUUUUCUUCAAGAAGGACUAGCUGAGGAUUCUUCCUGCAGUCUCUUCGUUAUGGAUCAUGUGAACUCGAGCUCCGUCCAUCUUAUUUUUAUUCAUAGUCGUUUCUGCCGAUUCUUCAUUUUCCUGCUACAUACUUACACCUGAAGAUAAAUUUUAAACUAAUUAAUCAAUAUUUUCUUACUGUGCUACUUUAUCAUACUCCAUUUGUAAAAUCAUUUGCUGGUCAAGAAGCUUUUGAAACGUUUUUUAAAUAAUUUGUGUAAAAGCCAGCUGGCCAUUCAUUUAUGUUUGGGUGUGCAGUUUUCUUCUUAAAAUUAAAUUUGAAUUAACUACCUGUCCAUUCAAAGUGACAAACCUCCCGUUCUGCUAGAUGCGCUUGCACUAACUGUUAAAUCUGAUGAGAUUAUUGUAACUAAAAUUGUAUUCCGUAAAGUUUGUUUGUGUGCAAAGCGUCCUAUGAACUGAAUAAUUUUCAUUCAAAGACAGUGCCCCGUCUUAUUACUAUGUGUGUGUGUGUGUACGAUUUAAUGAUGAUAAAUUGAUAUCAUUCUCAGUUAUUUUGGCCAGAACUCGAGUUGAUCUUUGUUGGCUAAUAUAAAUAGUACCUGAACUCUAAUGCUUUUGUUAUGUUGCUGCUUAAAUGCACAUGUGAACUAUCUACAUGCUUUCAAGUUUUUUAACUCUCUGGCAUUGUAUGUUUGGAAAUUAUUUGGAAUCUUGGCUUUUGUAUAUGUGACAUCACAUUUCUUUUGUCUUGUUGUUGCGAGGCAUUGAUACCGGGUGAAUGAGAAGGAGCACGAGUUUGAUAAAUAUGUUUAUUACUCACGCAUGAUGGUAGCAAGGUUGGUUGGUUGAACAGUAGAACUUCACACCACUGGAGCCCCGUCGAGAGGAGAGGACCGUCUCCGGCGAGCGUCCUAGCCGAACUGAUUUCUACCUGCCCUCGAGGUGGCCGCCAAGGCUCGGCCGAGGGAAGGCCGGCUAGGGCGGCGCCUGGCCCUUAGGCCUUAAUGUGUUAAUGCAUAUCGGAGGCCACCAUUUGUAGGACGGCUUCGAGGCGGGAGUGUUUAACUAUUUGAAUUGAAUCUAAAUUUGGUGGUUUACUGUUUGCGCCACCUGUGCGCGUGUAGGAGGGGCCCCGGAGUGAUCGUACCCUGUUGGUAAUUCACCAUAUAACGAGGUUCCCUUAAGUUCUUUUUAAGAAUUGUUUUCCAUCUGAAUUGAAUGAUUGGUAACAAUUUCCAUUGGCUGUGUUUUAGCUUGGUCAUUGUAAAGCUUAACAAUCUAAAUCUUCAGCUGUCACAUAAAUGUCAUCAAUCUCUUUUCUUUGUCAUUGAUCUGAUUGUUGUAAAUUAAAUAUCAAAACAUAAGAGAACAAGUAUACCUAGUUUGUCUUAUAUUCACAGCAAUCAUGUUCUUUAUUAUGCACUGAAUAAUUUUCAUUCUAAGGCCCCGUUUUAUUACGAUGUGUGUGUAUACUAUUUAAAGAUAACAAAUUGACAUGAUUUUCAGUUAAUUUGGCCAGAACUCAAGUUGAUCAACAACAGUUAUCAACAAAAAUGAUUGAAAUGUACUUCAAGGCCGUUGCGUUUUGUCUGUUCUUCUACUCAAUAAGUUUGGCCUCACUUCUGUGUGAACUGUCAAAUUCAGCUGAUCUUGUUACUCUAUCCUUUUCCAUCUGCUGAUACAUCAAUUUUAUAGAACUAUGUCUAACAAAAUUGAACACUGAUUCUGUAACACUUAUAAAAUGAAAUUAAAAGUAAUUUACGAUCCAACAAGA